rnacentral:rRNA from 1 species
UACGUAGGGGGCGAGCGUUGUCCGGAUUUAUUGGGCGUAAAGAGCUCGUAGGCGGUUUGAUAAGUUGGAUGUGAAAUCUCCAGGCUCAACUUGGAGGGGUCAUUCGAUACUGCCAUGACUAGAGUUCGGUAGGGGAGUGUGGAAUUCCUGGUGGAGCGGUGAAAUGCGCAGAUAUCAGGAGGAACACCCGUAGCGAAGGCGGCACUCUGGGCCGGAACUGACGCUGAGGAGCGAAAGCGUGGGGAGCGAACAGG